AUGACAUGUUAUUUGGUAUUUGGAUUUUGUGUGUGUUCAUCGUAUUGUGAACCACAGUUCAUUGUAUUGUCAUGUGAGCCGCAGCUUGUUAUGCUCUAUGCUGAAUGGCAGCAGAGGUUCGCACCCUGCUCCCCACUUGAUGUAAAAACAAAUGCAGACUUCGAUACUCCACAUUUCAAGAAAGGUCGUGUCCAAUACCAAAAAUCUUUAAGAGGUACAUUCAUGCCACAGUUUACCACGGAUUUGAUACAAGGUGGACAACUUUGUGUGCACCAAAAUCUAGAUGAUCAUGCAAUGCUGGAUGCAAAUAUGUAG
rnacentral:rRNA from 1 species